rnacentral:rRNA from 1 species
UACGAAGGUCCCAAGCGUUUAUCCGGAUUUAUUGGGUUUAAAGGGUGCGUAGGCGGGCUAUUAAGUCAGUGGUGAAAGCCCCAAGCUUACUGGAACUGCCAUUGAUACUGAUGGUCUUGAGUACAUUUUGAGGUGGGCGGAAUGUGUCAUGUAGCGGUGAAAUGCUUAGAUAUGACACAGAACACCGAUUGCGAAGGCAGCUCGCUGGGACGGUGACUGACGCUGAGGCGCGAAAGCGUGGGGAGCGAACAGG